AGCGAACGCUGGCGGCAGGCUUAACACAUGCAAGUCGAGCGGGCAUCUUCGGGUGUCAGUGGCGGACGGGUGAGUAACGAGUGGGAACGUGACUUCUGGUUCGGAAUAACUCAGGGAAACUUGAGAUAAUACCGGAUACGCCCUUUUGGGGAAAGGUUUACUGCCGGAAGAUAGGCCCGCGUCUGAUUAGCUAGUUGGUGGGGUAACGGGCUACCAAGGCGACGAUCAGUAGCUGGUCUGAGAGGAUGAUCAGCCACACUAGGACUGAGACACGGCCCAGACUCCUACGGGAGUCAGCAGUGGGGAAUAUUGUACAAUGGGGUCAACCCUAAUCCAGCCAUGCCGCGUGAGUGAUGAAGGCCUUAGGGUUGUAAAUCUCUUUUAUCCGGGACGAUAAUGACGGUACCGGAGGAAUAAGCCCCGGCUAACUUCGUGCCAGCAGCCGCAGUAA
rnacentral:rRNA from 1 species